rnacentral:rRNA from 1 species
AAGGCCCAGACAGCCAGGAUGUUGGCUUAGAAGCAGCCAUCAUUUAAAGAAAGCGUAAUAGCUCACUGGUCGAGUCGGCCUGCGCGGAAGAUGUAACGGGGCUAAACCAUGCACCGAAGCUGCGGCAGCGACACUAUGUGUUGUUGGGUAGGGGAGCGUUCUGUAAGCCUGUGAAGGUGGCCUGUGAGGGUUGCUGGAGGUAUCAGAAGUGCGAAUGCUGACAUAAGUAACGAUAAAGCGGGUGAAAAGCCCGCUCGCCGGAAGACCAAGGGUUCCUGUCCAACGUUAAUCGGGGCAGGGUGAGUCGACCCCUAAGGCGAGGCCGAAAGGCGUAGUCGAUGGGAAACAGGUUAAUAUUCCUGUACUUGGUGUUACUGCGAAGGGGGGACGGAGAAGGCUAUGUUGGCCGGGCGACGGUUGUCCCGGUUUAAGCGUGUAGGCUGGUUUUCCAGGCAAAUCCGGAAAAUCAAGGCUGAGGCGUGAUGACGAGGCACUACGGUGCUGAAGCGACAAAUGCCCUGCUUCCAGGAAAAGCCUCUAAGCAUCAGGUAACAUCAAAUCGUACCCCAAACCGACACAGGUGGUCAGGUAGAGAAUACCAAGGCGCUUGAGAGAACUCGGGUGAAGGAACUAGGCAAAAUGGUGCCGUAACUUCGGGAGAAGGCACGCUGAUAUGUAGGUGAAGCGACUUGCUCGUGGAGCUGAAAUCAGUCGAAGAUACCAGCUGGCUGCAACUGUUUAUUAAAAACACAGCACUGUGCAAACACGAAAGUGGACGUAUACGGUGUGACGCCUGCCCGGUGCCGGAAGGUUAAUUGAUGGGGUUAGCGGUAACGCGAAGCUCUUGAUCGAAGCCCCGGUAAACGGCGGCCGUAACUAUAACGGUCCUAAGGUAGCGAAAUUCCUUGUCGGGUAAGUUCCGACCUGCACGAAUGGCGUAAUGAUGGCCAGGCUGUCUCCACCCGAGACUCAGUGAAAUUGAACUCGCUGUGAAGAUGCAGUGUACCCGCGGCAAGACGGAAAGACCCCGUGAACCUUUACUAUAGCUUGACACUGAACAUUGAGCCUUGAUGUGUAGGAUAGGUGGGAGGCUUUGAAGUGUGGACGCCAGUCUGCAUGGAGCCGACCUUGAAAUACCACCCUUUAAUGUUUGAUGUUCUAACGUGGGCCCCUUACCGGGGUUGCGGACAGUGUCUGGUGGGUAGUUUGACUGGGGCGGUCUCCUCCUAAAGAGUAACGGAGGAGCACGAAGGUUGGCUAAUCCUGGUCGGACAUCAGGAGGUUAGUGCAAUGGCAUAAGCCAGCUUGACUGCGAGCGUGACGGCGCGAGCAGGUGCGAAAGCAGGUCAUAGUGAUCCGGUGGUUCUGAAUGGAAGGGCCAUCGCUCAACGGAUAAAAGGUACUCCGGGGAUAACAGGCUGAUACCGCCCAAGAGUUCAUAUCGACGGCGGUGUUUGGCACCUCGAUGUCGGCUCAUCACAUCCUGGGGCUGAAGUAGGUCCCAAGGGUAUGGCUGUUCGCCAUUUAAAGUGGUACGCGAGCUGGGUUUAGAACGUCGUGAGACAGUUCGGUCCCUAUCUGCCGUGGGCGCUGGAGAACUGAGGGGGGCUGCUCCUAGUACGAGAGGACCGGAGUGGACGCAUCACUGGUGUUCGGGUUGUCAUGCCAAUGGCACUGCCCGGUAGCUAAAUGCGGAAGAGAUAAGUGCUGAAAGCAUCUAAGCACGAAACUUGCCCCGAGAUGAGUUCUCCCUGACUCCUUGAGAGUCCUGAAGGAACGUUGAAGACGACGACGUUGAUAGGCCGGGUGUGUAAGCGCAGCGAUGCGUUGAGCUAA